rnacentral:rRNA from 1 species
GACGAACGCUGGCGGCGUGCCUAAUACAUGCAAGUUGAACGCAACAAAGACACCAGAGCUUGCUCUACCGUCUUUGUUGAGUAGCGAACGGGUGAGUAACGCGUGGGUAACCUGCCUUAUAGCGGGGGAUAACUAUUGGAAACGAUAGCUAAUACCGCAUAACAAUAGAGAUUGCAUAAUCUUUAUUUGAAAGUACCAACUGGUACACUAUGAGAUGGACCCGCGUUGUAUUAGCUAGUUGGUAGUGUAAUGGACUACCAAGGCGAUGAUACAUAGCCGACCUGAGAGGGUGAUCGGCCACAUUGGGACUGAGACACGGCCCAAACUCCUACGGGAGGCAGCAGUAGGGAAUCUUCGGCAAUGGACGAAAGUCUGACCGAGCAACGCCGCGUGAGUGAAGAAGGUUUUCGGAUCGUAAAACUCUGUUGUUAGAGAAGAAUGUUGAUUAGAGUGGAAAAUUAAUCAAGUGACGGUAUCUAACCAGAAAGGGACGGCUAACUACGUGCCAGCAGCCGCGGUAAUACGUAGGUCCCGAGCGUUGUCCGGAUUUAUUGGGCGUAAAGCGAGCGCAGGUGGUUUAAUAAGUCUGAUGUAAAAGGCAGUGGCUCAACCAUUGUGUGCAUUGGAAACUGUUAGACUUGAG